rnacentral:rRNA from 1 species
UACAGAGGUCUCAAGCGUUGUUCGGAUUCAUUGGGCGUAAAGGGUGCGUAGGCGGCGCGGUAAGUCGGGUGUGAAAUCUUGGAGCUUAACUCCGAAACUGCAUUCGAUACUGCCGUGCUUGAGGACUGGAGAGGAGACUGGAAUUUACGGUGUAGCGGUGAAAUGCGUAGAUAUCGGGAAGAACACCCGUGGCGAAGGCGGUUCUCUGGGACGGUACUGACGCUGAGACGCGAAAGCGUGGGGAGCAAACAGG